UACAGAGGUCCCAAGCGUUGUUCGGAUUCAUUGGGCGUAAAGGGUGCGUAGGUGGCGCCGUAAGUGGGGUGUGAAAUCCCGGGGCUUAACUCCGGAACUGCAUUCCAUACUGCGGUGCUUGAGGACUGGAGAGGAGACUGGAAUUUACGGUGUAGCAGUGAAAUGCGUAGAGAUCGUAAGGAAGACCAGUGGCGAAGGCGGGUCUCUGGACAGUUCCUGACGCUGAGGCACGAAGGCCAGGGGAGCAAACGGG
rnacentral:rRNA from 1 species